CCUGAGGCCAUCUGAAGGAAGGAUGCUUAGCGUGUAUUCCAACACUGAGUUGAGUUUUCUGCUUUUGAAACGCAUAGAACCACCAAGUCUCCGUCGCUAUCUGUGGAUCCGGCUCGCAGUGCAUCCCGUGCUCGUUCCACCAGCUCGGCGUCUGCUCUGCAGAAUGCUCCAGAAGAGCAAUAUGGGUAACGCAAAAUCUGUAUUGCGAUUCAACAAUCUGUGGAACGCGCGUUUCGGACUGAGUGGAAAAUGCUGAAGCGCAGCUCCGCAGCUGUGCCUGGUGAAGCACAAGAGCUGAGGUGCUGGGCUGUGCUGGCACAGUCAGAGGCACUUUUCUGUGUGUUUGAGAAGCGUGUGCUGGAAGGAACCAUACGAGGUGCUAAAGAACAGUGACUUGGCUCUCCUCUCUGUAAAUUCCAGACCGUUCAAACUCAUCUCCUUUGUUUGCCCAGGCUUUCUGCUGUUACAUUACCGAAGCUGCAAGGACUCAAAUAGCGCAGCUCUCUUUUGAAAUGGGCUGCGUUGAUGUAGCAGCUGAUAGUGGUAGCCAGCGGCUCCCACAAGUGAUGACAAUUCAGCCCACAAACCAGCAGUUAAACGAUGUUGGCUUACCAAGAAGCUGAGACUGUGCUAUUGGGCUGCUACAUGUUCCUUCUCCAUCCAACGUCUGAGGAGGCAAAGCUAGAACUAAAGCGACAUUGAUAUUCUUAGUCACUGGUAGGUUCCCUUGCAAGUGAGUGUGGAGUUGUGUGGCCCUUUUCUUUUGCCUAUUUCCUUUAGCUUCCUUUCCUUACCUCGAGUUCAAAAGCAUGUUCUGAGUUAGUUACCCCGGUGGCAGCCCUGCCUACAUUAAGAA